AUGUGCGUCUUUCACCACUCCACGUGGGUCCCUUUCUAGGCUGCAUGCUCGGUUGAAGAGGACAACCAACCCUGAUAGAGGAGGAAUGGUCUUUGGUCAAGAAUAUAAGAGUACCUGUGCUACCUUGCUAGAACUGCCAAACAAGCUCUCAAGGUCCAAACAGUGGAAAAUGAAAGUUCAGGUUGAUUCAUGUUGGCAGGUUUUUAUAUUAAAAUAAAAUUUAA
rnacentral:snRNA from 1 species